rnacentral:tRNA from 1 species
AUUAAAUUGGCAGAUUAGUGUUUUGGUUUUAGAAAUCAAGUAAGUGUAUUUUUACACAUUUAAUA